rnacentral:rRNA from 1 species
CACGGAGGGUGCAAGCGUUGUCCGGAUUUAUUGGGUUUAAAGGGUGCGUAGGUGGCCUUAUAAGUCAGCGGUGAAAGUCUGCAGCUUAACUGUAGAACUGCCAUUGAUACUGUAAGGCUUGAGUACUGAUGAGGUAGGCGGAAUUGAUAGUGUAGCGGUGAAAUGCAUAGAUAUUAUCAAGAACACCGAUUGCGAAGGCAGCUUACUAAGGAGUUACUGACACUGAGGCACGAAAGCGUGGGGAUCAAACAGG